rnacentral:rRNA from 1 species
CCUACGGGGGGCAGCAGUGGGGAAUAUUGCACAAUGGGGGAAACCCUGAUGCAGCAACGCCGCGUGAGUGAAGAAGUAUUUCGGUAUGUAAAGCUCUAUCAGCAGGGAAGAGAAUGACGGUACCUGACUAAGAAGCCCCGGCUAACUACGUGCCAGCAGCCGCGGUAAUACGUAGGGGGCGAGCGUUAUCCGGAUUUACUGGGUGUAAAGGGAGCGUAGACGGUUCUGCAAGUCUGAAGUGAAAGCCCGUGGCUUAACCGCGGAACGGCUUUGGAAACUGUGGAACUGGAGUGCUGGAGAGGCAAGCGGAAUUCCUAGUGUAGCGGUGAAAUGCGUAGAUAUUAGGAGGAACACCAGUGGCGAAGGCGGCUUGCUGGACAGUAACUGACGUUGAGGCUCGAAAGCGUGGGGAGCAAACAGGAUUAGAUACCCGAGUA